CAGCGCUGCUCCCGUCCCAUUCGUCGGUGGCACUGGCUGCGUGCACGUCUCGUCGCCAUUGGGAUUCACCAAUCCCAUCCGCGCCCAUCCUCCAAACGUUCAAGGGUUCCGCCAACCCUUCGUCAAGUCUGUGCCCCCUCCGCCUCGUCUCCUACCUACUCCCUCCUCUCCCACGUCAUUGCCCUCGAGCCCACGCCCCCUCCACCUCAUCUCCUCUCCAAUGCCGCCGCCCUAGAUGCGUCGUCAGGGAUGCCAUCGACACGUCGGGAUACGUAGGGAUGGAGCUCAGCCUGAGCCUAGCAGAAGCCCACUCCUAACCCUAUUCGCUCGAUUGACAAGAGCAGGGAAACGGAUUGGAUCGAGGGCGCCCGCACGGCCUCGUUGCCGCUGCCGCAUGGAUUCGCUAGCCGCCGCCUCGAGUUACCUCCGUCAUCGCCGCCGCGAGUCAGCUCCACCGUUGCCUUCAGGAAUCUCAUCCAGGCAAAUUAACUUCCUCCGAGUCCCUGCUCUCCCUGGUCCUCCUGCCCUGCUUGAUGCGUGUGUGUGUGUGUGUGCGUGCAUGCGUGUGUGCGUUCCAGGCAAAUUAACUUCCUCUGAGUCCCUGCUGUCCCUUGUCCUCCUGCCCUGCUUGAUGCGUGUGUGCGUGUGUGCAUGGGUGCGGGUGCGGGUGUGUGUGGGUGUGGGUGUGGGUGCGUAUGUUUUUAGUUCAAGUGUGGAUGCUCGGCAAUAGUGAUGUAGGUCAUUUUGUAGAACAGCAUGAUUAACUUGGUCUAUUUCUAGAGAAAAUUCCUAGGAAUUUGAUUGACGGAGGCAUCACUAUCUGGCGCUGGAUUAUACAUUUUUGCAGCACUACCACUAUUGUUUUUGUUUGGCAGGAAUGAAUGUUCUAGGGUUGGAGCAGAGGGGGUUGAGCAGCAGUUGAGCUUAGGCAUGAAUUUACAGAUUCAAGAUUUGCUUACACAUGGGGCUUUUUAUUCUCCUAAUGUUUCUAGGUCGCUUUGGAGGCUGAUAUCAGGUGGCUACUCAUGUCUAGCUUGGUGGCUUGGUGCAUAAAUUUUAGAUGUUCCAUUAAUCUUGGCUGCUUUUCUAAUCCGUUUUGGGCUUUAACCUUGGAUCUAGAAGGUAGCAGCUUCUUUGUUCUCCUACUCAAGAUUUGCUCAUUGUUCAGUUCAAGCCAUGUUCUUCAGGAAAAUCAUUGUUUCUUCACUUCCAGGGCCAGCGUCACUCAACUUUGCUUGGAUCAUGCUUAUUUGUUUCUACAUUACCUUUGCUUAAUAUUUUCUCUUGAUUUCCUAUGUGAUUGAGAUGCGUGCCUAUCUCGACUGUUCUGUUGUGUUAGCAAUUUCUUGCCACUGGCCCAUUAUAACUAUUGUUCAUGUACCUGGUGCACUUCUAAUUUUGAAUUGUGCUUGCUGAGUGCCCUCAUUUUUUUACUACCUUCCGUUGGUGUAUAUGCAAGUUGUAGAGCUUUGUUGUUCAAUCUGGUUAUAGCUUUAUUCUCCUAUUUUCUUACUCACUCCCGCAUUGUCUUAGUUAUUAGAAAUGUAAAUAGGCCAUGUGAAAAUAAGCUAAAGUAGCUUUUUUGGGAGAUUUUUUGUGACAUUGUUUUUUGUACAACAGAACCAUUUUUCUGCUAAGUAAAUUACAUUAUGUGUCCAGCAUCUGAUGGUUUGCUACCUAUAUUACUGGCUUGCAUGCUUUGAGAAAAUGAUUUUAGCAUGUUUGUCAUUCAUAUAGCUGUCCAUCUGCGAAAGAAAAAAAUGUUAUUUGCUCAUGCCUCAUGUCAUAAAAUCAAAUCUCUGCACCAUGCUGAUAUUCUUCAUAAAGAAACCACUUGCUUUUACAAUUACUGGACUACUGUGAGUGUCGUCGUCUUCAUUGAUGGGAUGACAAGAGCGACAAUAGCGCUAGCCAGCGAGGCAGGCUGCUUGGCUCUGGGGCCGAGACCUACCGUCCACUUCCGUUGGGCGGAUCUGCCACUUCAAAAACUUACGGUGGCAAUAAGAAAUCUCAAGAGCUUGUUGUGAUGAUUUGAAUGUAAGCAGUUUCCCUCGCUGUGCUUGUGUGCGCUUCUAUGUCUUUUGUGGUCUAUUCUUAGUGUAUGGAAUGGUUAUAUUAGCCCUGUAGUUUACUUUCAUUUUUGAAUCUUGAUGCAUCGAAAAUAGUUGUAAAGUGCAAGACCUUAUUUCUGUUGGUGAAAUAAUAUAUGCACAUUGGCUCUUUUAUUGUUUU